rnacentral:lncRNA from 1 species
AUUCGGUUGCCUUUCCUGAGGAGAGGUGGCAGGUGCUCAGCUCUGCAGGUGUCGGGGCAAGGAAGGACCAAGCGACCUGAGAAGAGCAGAGGUGCCCCAUGGGGACCACGCUGACUUGUCGCAUGUGCACCAAGGCCAGCCCCACUCAGGGCCCUCACAGGGCUUCUGCAGAGCCGUCCUGAGGCUCUGACAUCUAUGAGUCGGCGGCCAGCAGAGGCGCAGACCCCAGCACAGAGGAGCAGAGGCACCCGGAACAAGCUGUCCCUUAAUGCCACCCCAAGCGGGGCCAGCUCAGGAUGCGGUGUUUGGAGCAGUCCUGCAGCUCUGCGAUCCACGAGGUGGUGGUGGGAGUAGCGCCAGAGUCCACUGCUUUGGAGCCUGCCCCGUCUGAUUCAGGAGUCAUGACGACCAGAAGACGCCAAAAGCAAAACUAAGACUUCAGAUUACAAAAUGUAUGCUACAGAUUUCAUUACGGUAGAGGAAAUAUGCGACAGCUCUUGUAUUUAAACUUAAGUAGCCACAUUGGGACUCCCAAUUUCAUAUUUUUCGUUGUAGAGCAGAGCUCUCUCUCCUAAAGUAAUGGCUGAGGGUUAGAGGUACUCUUCUUGAUUCUAAUAAUAAAAAAUGAUUUCUCAUAGAGACAGGGUCUCACUGUGUUGCCCAGGCUGGUCUCAAACCCCUGGCCUCAAGUGAUUCACUCACGUUGGCCUCCCGCUUUGUUGGGAUGACAGGCAAGAACCACCACACCUGGCCUUGGGAGCUGCUCCUGCUUUGUGUGUUUUGCCUGGUCUUCCUGCACAGCUGUCAGUAAGAUGCUCCUGCAGCAUAGUUCCAAAUCUUUCUGCACAAAUUUAGUGGAUGAUGUGAUUUUUUACAUGGAAUAGCCCCUUUAUUUAUUGCAGAGAAGCUGGACAAUUCACACUUAGUAACAUAUGGCCUAGCAAAUUUCAUUUCGUGAUCACCACACCUGUUAAAAGGUGAUGCUUGUGGUCUAAAUAUGCAGAUUCCUCAUCAUCCUCAAGGAAAAGGGAACCACUGCAAGAAAACCUGGGAGGGAGUUUAGGAUUGUCCUGAGGCAGUGCAAGCCACUGAAAUUCACACACAAGGGGUUAGAAAAGAGAAUCCACAUGUUCUCAUCUCUCCAUGUUCUGGGUAUAAUUUGGUCCUCCUUAAAUUGCACCAUUUUUGGCGUUAGAGAAAACUGGAUUUGAAUACCACUUCCAUCACUCUUUAUGAUGUGAUGGUGAAUGUGUUUUUAACUCAUCUGAGCCUCAGUUUGCUCAUCUAUAGAAGAUGUGAUUGUUGUAAGGCUUCCAUAAGGUAAGUGUGUAAAAACCAUGGCAAAAUGCUUGUAAUUUAAAAGAGAGGGUUAUUAUGAGGCUUCUAUAAGGUAAGUGUGUAAAAGUCUGGACAAAAUGUCUACUAUUUUGUAAGUGUUCAAUAUGUGGAUAAAGUGGAUUAUCUUUCUCUCCUUUUUAGACCACAAAUUUUUAGACCAAGUUUAUAAAAUUAGGGAUACUCCUAUUUCUUAGACAAUCAAACCAAUGAUCAGAAAGACUAGAUAAAUCACCAUAGUCACAAAGCAGUUCACAAUGCAUUUACUGGGUAAUUUCUAGUUAACAGUAGCAAUGAUGAUCACAUUGAAAAUCUUGUAUUUUGUGGUGGUUUUCUGUUACGUAAGCCUCUUGCUUUGUUGAAACCAUAGAUUCUAAGCUGCUUUGUCAAAGUGAUCAUUAGAAAAAUGUGAUGUAGUGUGUAAAUGUUAGAAAAUUUCUCCUGUUAGUCUUGCUAAUUUGAUUGAACAUGUGUGUCAUUUUCAAAAAUGUAAAUCAAAUAUAUGUGAAUGGGAUAUAUAUGUAUACAUAUGAAAUAUAACUUGAAUUAGAGAGUAGGCUUAGCUCAUGGCAAUGUUUUUUCUGAAAGCACCUGCAGAAAUCUCUCUUAUUUCUAGUUUGUUGAUGUUUCAGAGAUUAUGGAGAAAUGGCGGUUCUAUGAAUCUCAGACACUGCAUGAGGCAGAUUUGGUUUCAGUAAUUUUAGCAUCAUUCAUUGUAAGGUGAUGAUCCCUAGGAACUUCAUCACAGUGAGAAACCUGAAAGGUCCUAGCAGCCAGCAUGAAUGAAAGGUGGGGCGGGGCUGCUGGCAGGGCAGGGCCUUGUGAGCCAUAUGCCUGUGCUCUCAAGUUCCAGGAUUGUGGGGAUGCAUGCAGGGGAUUCUGGACCUGAUUGUUUCCUCUGAACCAGGAUGUGGUCUGGUUGGCAGGGCAACUGGCCUUCACUUGGUGGCCUUCAGUGGAUGCCCACAUUGGUUGCCUUCGGUUAGUGCACUCAGUUGGUACCCUCAGUUGUUUCUCUUCAGUUGGUGGUCUUCAAUUGUUGGGCAGUGGCAGAAGGAGGAUGAAUCCGUUUGUGCUCUCUCCUCCCCCAGUCACAGCUCUCAGGCUUGUUGCCCCCAGGCCCUCCUAAAAUAAACCAGAGAUGUUGGCAGGUUUUUCUUAGCAGACUAAUCAGCUCAGGAUAUGGGGGUGAGGCAGGGUGUAGGGUGCAGGUUGCUAGCACAGUGCCGCCCCAUGGCCCAGGGCUGCCUGUGCCAGACAUGCCUUUGCAAGGAAGAGGCAAUAGUUGUUGAGCUCUGCAGACUUGGGGGCAAGCGAAGGUCCAAGCUGCCUGAGAAGAGCAGGGGUGCCGCAUGGGGACCACACUGAACUGUCACAAGUGCACCAAAGUCAGCCCCAGUCAGGGCUGGCAGAAGGGUUCUGCAGAGCCAGCCUGUGGCUCUGAUGUCUACCAGUGUGCAGACAGAGAAGGCGCAGGCUGUGAUAUACAGGAGCAGAGGAGCCCUGAACACGCUGUCCCCCAAUACCAGCCACAAGCGGGGCUAUCUCAGGGUGCGGUGGGUGAAGCCGUCCUGCAGCUCUGCGAUCCACGAGGUGGAGGUGGCAGUACUACCAGACUCCACUGCUUUGGAGCCUGCCCAGUCGAAUUUGGGAUCCAGUGACAGACCUGACAGCAGUACAUUGGCAACCAGAAGAUACCCCAGGUAGGGUGGCAACGGAUACUGCUUAACUUGAGAAGAGCCUCAGUUUUCUCAUCUAUAUAAGAUGUGAUUGCUAUGAAGCUUCCAUAAGGUAAGUGUGUAAAAACCAUGGCAAAAUGCUUGUAACUUAAAACAGAGUGUUUCUAUGAGGCUUCUAUAAGGUGAGUGUGCAAAAAUCUGGACACAAUACCUAUAAUUGUUUAAGUGUUCAGUAUGUGGAGAAGGAGGAUUAUUUUUUCUCAUCUAAUUUUUAGAGCGAGUUCAUAAGAUUGGUGAUACUCAUAUAUCUUAGACAAUCAAACCAAUAAUCAGAAAGAAUAAAUAGAUCACCAGAGUCACAAAGCAGUUCACAAUGCAUUCACUGGGUAAUUUUUAGUUGAAAGUAGAAAUGAUGAUCACAUUGAAAAUUUUGUAUUAUGUUGUGGUUUUCUCUUACAUAAUCCUCUUGGUGUCUUGGUGUUAUGAAACCACAGAUUCUAAAUUGCUCUAUCAAAGUGAUCAUUAGAAAAAUCUGAUGUACUUAGUGUUUAAAUGUUAGAAAAUUUCUUGUUAGUCUUCUCAAUUUGAUUGAACAUGUGUGUUAUUUUCAAAAAUGUAAAUGGGACAUAUGUGGAUUUGUUAUAUAUGUGUAUAUAUGAAAUAUUACUUGAUAUUAUAGAGUAGGCUUAGCUCAUGGCAAAGUUUUUUUCUGAAAGCACCUGCAGAAAUCUCUCUUAUUUCUAGUUUGUUAAUAUUUCAGAGAUUAUGGGGGAAAGGGGGUUUUAUGAAUCCCAGACAUUGCGUGAAGCAGAUUUGGUUUCAGUAAUUUUAGCAUCAUUCAUUGUAAGGUGAUGAUCCCUAGGAAUUUCUUCACAGUGAGAAACCUGAAGGUUCCUAGCAUGCAGCAAUGAAUGAAAGGUGGGGCGGGGCCACUGGCAUGGUGGGGCCUUGUGAGCCAUGUGUCUGUGCUCUCAAGUUCCAAGUCUGUAGGGAUGCAUGCAGGGGAUUCUGGACCUGAUUGUUUACUCUGAACCAGGAUGCGGUCUGGUUGGCAGGGCAACUGGCCUUCACUUGGUGGCCUUCAGUGGGUGCCCUCAUUGGUUGCCUUCGGUUAGUGCCCUCAGUUGGUACCCUCAGUUGUUUCUCUUCAGGUGGUGGUCCUCAGUUGGUGGUCUUCAGUUGUUGGGCAGUGGUGGAAGGAGGAUGAAUCUGUGCUCUCUCCUGCCCCAGUCACAGCUCUCAGGCUUGUUGCAUCCAGGCCUUUCUAAAAUAAACUGGACAGGUUGGCAGGAUUUUUUAGCAGACAAGUCAGCUCAGAGUAUGGGGGUGAUAUGGGGUGCAUGCUGCUAGCGCAGUGCCACCCCGUGGCCCAGGACUGCUUGUGCUAGCAAUGCUUUUGCCAGCAAGAGACGAUAGGUGUUGAGCUCUGCACACUUGGGGGCAACCAAAGGCCCAAGCUGCCCAAGAAGAGCAGGAGUGCCCCAUGGGGACCACAUUGAACUGUCGCAUGUGCACCAAAGCCAGCCCCAGUCAGGGCCGGCACAAGGGUUGUGCAGAGCCAGCCUGUGGCUCUGACGUCUAUGAGUGUGCAGACAGCGCAGACGCAGCCCGCAAUAUACAGGAGCAGAGUUGCCCUGAACACGCUGUCCCACAAUGCCAACCACAAAUGGGGCCAGCUAAGGGUGUGGUGGGAGAAGCCAUCCUGCAGCUCUGAGAUCCACAAAGUGGAGAUAGCAGUAGCACCAACUCCACUGCUUUGGAGGCUGCCCAGUCGAAUUUGGGAGCCAGCGAGGGACCUGACAGCAGCACAUUGGACACCAGAAGACACCCAAAGGCUGGAAUGCUACGUCGCGAUGUCAGCUCGCUGCAACCCUUGCUUCCUGAGUUCAUGUGAUCCUCCUGCUUCAGCCUCCUGAGUAGCUGGGAUUAGAGGGAGAGGAGUGGAAGACCUUCUGGUGUGGGCUGGGCAGCAAUUCACUUGAAGGAGAAACAGCCCGGGUGUGGAGAGGCGGCCAUCCUUGGCGGGAUCCUUUCUAAGGAGCCGAGAAAUCAACGUAGAGCUUCCUCUAUCUGAUUCUCUAACAACUGCAGACCUUCCAUGAGUCAAGCUUUGUGUCAAAAGGACAAAUUAAAAGGACCUAUAAAUGGCACCACCCAGCCCAAUGGACAGAUGCCCCAGGCUGCAGAUUCUGUCAGUGCUGUUCUCGAAGAGGCCCAGGCACAUGCUGAAACAUGGAAGGAUAAGAAGCCAGCCCUCGGGAACCACCAGGAGCCAGGAGCACCCCCGGCCCCCCAAGGCCCCAAGUCCAGCCUGCCCCACCCCCUCCGGUGCAGAGGUCCUGUGACACCAGUGGCAGCCCCGCCACACCCCCCAAGGCCAAGGGCACAGGCAGCGUGGUCUUCCCCGCCCCGCCCGACUACUUCCUGCCGCCACAGCCACCAAUGCCGCCCCUGGAGUACCCAGAGCUCCCGCUGCCGUCCCCGGACUUCAUGGAGACCCCCCUGGACUUCGUGCUCCCUCCCCUCGCUGUCGCCAAGAGGCCUCCUAUGCCCCACCCCCCCAACAGGCACGAAGCAUCAAUGUUCACAAGCAGCAAAUGAAUAAAAGUUAAACGUUCUUCCUACUGCAUUUCUAUAAGGAUUAUUGGGUCAGUCGAUCUUGAGGUCAACACUAUAAUUAAAACUAGCUUUCACCAUCCCAUGCCUUCUUAAGUCUUGGUGACCUUAGAUUUUCAGCUCUACCUCUGCGACCUUCAGAAUUUUCAGGAAAAUAGAGGAAAACGAGAAAACAUGACAAUCUCUUUCUCUGAGAUUCCUGUUGCUUGA